rnacentral:rRNA from 1 species
UACAGAGGUCUCAAGCGUUGUUCGGAUUCAUUGGGCGUAAAGGGUGCGUAGGCGGCGCGGUAAGUCGGGGUGUGAAAUUUCGAGGCUUAACUUCGAAACUGCAUUCGAUACUGCCGUGCUUGAGGACUGGAGAGGAGACUGGAAUUUACGGUGUAGCGGUGAAAUGCGUAGAUAUCGUAAGGAAGACCAGUGGCGAAGGCGGGUCUCUGGACAGUUCCUGACGCUGAGGCGCGAAAGCGUGGGGAGCAAACGGG